AAUCAACGCUGGCGGCGUGCCUAACACAUGCAAGUCGAGCGGGAAAGGGGCUUCGGCUCCUGAGUAUAGCGGCAGACGGGUGAGUAACACGUGGGUAAUUUGCCCUUGGGUGUGGAAUAACUCAGGGAAACUUGAGCUAAUACCGCAUGACAUCCUCUUCGCACACGAGUCGAGGGAUCAAAGCCGGGGACCCUUCGGGGCCUGGCGCCUGAGGAGAAGCCCGCGCCCGAUUAGCUAGUUGGUGAGGUAAUGGCUCACCAAGGCUUCGAUCGGUAGCCGGCCUGAGAGGGCGGACGGCCACACUGGGGACUGAGACACGGGCCCAGACUCCUACGGGAGGCAGCAGUGGGGAAUUUUUGUCAAGU
rnacentral:rRNA from 1 species